GACGAACGCUGGCGGCGUGCCUAAUACAUGCAAGUCGAACGCAGUGGGGACGGGUGAGUAACACGUGGGUAACCUCCCAUCAGAGGGGAUAACACUUGGAAAAAGGUGCUAAACCGAUACUGAUGGAUGGACCAGCGGUGCAUUAGCUAGUUGGUGAGGUAACGGCUCACAAAGGCCACGAUGCAUAGCCGACCUGCGGGGUGGAUCGUCCACACGUGUACAUAGACACGGCCCAGACUCCUCCGGGAGGCAGCAGUAGGGAAUCUUCGGCAAUGGACGAAAGUCUGACCGAGGAACGCCGCGUGAGUGAAGAAGGUUUUCGGAUCGUAAAACUCUGUUGUUAGAGAAGCGGUAUCUAACCAGAAAGCCACGGCUAACUACGUGCCAGCAGCCGCGGUAAUUC
rnacentral:rRNA from 1 species